GGAGGAAAAGAAACCAACAGGGAUUCCCUGAGUAACGGCGAGCGAAAAGGGAAGAGCCCAGCGCCGAAUCCCGCACUCGCAAGGGUGCGCGGAAAUGUGGCGUUUAGGAGUGAGCGUGCCGGUGGUUGACUCUGCAGCAAGUCCCCCUGACCGGGGCUGUUACCCAGAGUGGGUGCGAGGCCCAUAGCUGCUAGGUCUCCUCCGGAUGCGAUCUCCUUGGAGUCGGGUUGCUUGGGAGUGCAGCCCUAAUCGGGUGGUAAACUCCACCUAAGGCUAAAUACGGCCGUGAGACCGAUAGCAAACAAGUACCGUGAGGGAAAGUUGCAAAGAACUUUGAAGAGAGAGUUCAAGAGUACGUGAAACUGCUCAGAGGCAAACGGGUGGGCCCUCGAAAUCCUGUGGCGGGAGGAUUCAGUCGGGAGGCGCGGACGUCGGGUCGGAAUAACACAAGAAUGGAUUCCCUGACGGGACCGUUUCGACUCGGCGGCUUCGUGUCACCCGACGCAUUUGUUUCCCGUCCGAAGGACGCCGCAACCGGUUGGGGAACGGCCUUAAGGGCGAGUGCGGCAGGUGGCCGGUGACCAUCCCUCGUGGCGGUCGCCGGUUGUUAGCCGACUCGUCGCACGGCACGUGACCCGACCGUGGUGUCGCAAGGCCCCUCGCGGGCUCUUUCGCCUCCUCCGUUUCACGGACGCGGGCUGACGCGGCAGGAGCUUCUUCCGCUCUGCGGACGCACAGACUCACUCUGUGGUCCUGCGGACGGCGGACUCUGUUGGCUGCGACUGAUCCCGUCUCGGAGUGCUGGCGGUUAGCGGCGAGUAGAUCGGUNNNNNNNNNGACCCGUCUUGAAACACGGACCAAGGAGUCUAACAUGUGUGCGAGUCAAUGGGUCUCGAUUAAGCCCAGAGGCGCAAUGAAAGCAAAGGUCGGACUCGACUCCGGCUGUGUUGGGAUCCUCCCUCCUUCGCGGGGGAGGCGCACCAACGACCCGUCCUGUCCGAUUUAUCGGUUGGGCGGAGUCUGAGCAUACACGUUGGGACCCGAAAGAUGGUGAACUAUGCCCGGGCAGGACGAGGCCAGAGGAAACUCUGGUGGAGGUCCGCAGCGGUUCUGACGUGCAAAUCGAUCGUCAGAUCCGGGUAUAGGGGCGAAAGACUAAUCGAACCAUCUAGUAGCUGGUUCCCUCCGAAGUUUCCCUCAGGAUAGCUGGCGCUCGGAGAAUUCAGUCUCAUCCGGUAAAGCGAAUGAUUAGAGGCCUUGGGGCCGAAACGACCUCAACCUAUUCUCAAACUUUAAAUGGGUGAGAAGUCCGCCUUGCAUGACUGAAGGCCGGACGCUUGGAUGAGAGUGCCCAGUGGGCCACUUUUGGUAAGCAGAACUGGCGCUGUGGGAUGAACCAAACGCCGGGUUACGGCGUCCGAUGCGAGACGCUCAUGAGACCCCAUGAAAGGUGUUGGUUGCUCUAGACAGCAGGACGGUGGCCAUGGAAGUCGGAAUCCGCCAAGGAGUGUGUAACAACUCACCUGCCGAAGCAACUAGCCCUGAAAAUGGAUGACGCUCCAGCGUUGAGCCCAUACCCGGCCGCUGCGGCAGAUCUCUUUCCGCAAGGGGAGGAUUAGGCCGCAGUGAGUAGGAGGGUCGCAGCGGCGAGCGUUGAAGGUGCCGGGCGUGAGCCCGCCUGGAGCCGCCGCUGGUGCAGAUCUUGGUGGUAGUAGCAAAUACUCAAGUGAGAACCUUGAGGACUGAAGUUGGAGAAGGGUUCCAUGUGAACAGCAGUUGAACAUGGGUCAGUCGGCCCUAAGGGAUCGGAGAAAUCCGUUCCGAAGCGAGACCUUGACCUCGAGACGCGUGCUCUCUGGCUGGUGUGUUUGUCUCGCUGCCGACCGAAAGGGAAUGGGGUCAAUAUUCCCCAACCCGGACACGGAGAUAGGGGCUUCGGCCCCAAGUGCGGUAACGCAACCGAACUCGGAGACGUCGACGGAGGACCCGGGGAAGAGUUGUCUUUUCUUUGUAAGAGUUCGUGUCCCUGGAAUCGGCUCGUCCGGAGAUAGGGACGCUGUCCUCGUAAAAGCACCGCGGCUCUUGCGGUGUCCGGUGCGCCUCUGUCGGCCCUUGCAAAUCCGAGGGAGAGAGUGUGAUUUUCGUGCCGGUCCGUACCCAUAUCCGCAGCAGGUCUCCAAGGUGAACAGCCUCUAGUCGAUA
rnacentral:rRNA from 1 species